rnacentral:rRNA from 1 species
UACGAAGGGGGGCUAGCGUUGCUCGGAAUUACUGGGCGUAAAGCGCACGUAGGCGGCUUUCUAAGUCGGGGGUGAAAUCCUGGAGCUCAACUCCAGAACUGCCUUCGAUACUGGAAAGCUCGAGUCCGGGAGAGGUGAGUGGAACUGCGAGUGUAGAGGUGAAAUUCGUAGAUAUUCGCAAGAACACCAGUGGCGAAGGCGGCUCACUGGCCCGAUACUGACGCUGAGGCACGAAAGCGUGGGGAGCAAACAAG